rnacentral:rRNA from 1 species
AGGGUUCGAUCAUGGCUCAGGAUGAACGCUGGCGGCGUGCCUAACACAUGCAAGUCGAGCGAUUCUCUUCGGAGAAGAGCGGCGGACGGGUGAGUAACGCGUGGGUAACCUGCCCUAUACACACGGAUAACAUACCGAAAGGUAUGCUAAUACGGGAUAACAUUAGAGAUUCGCAUGGAUUUCUUAUCAAAGCUCCGGCGGUAUAGGAUGGACCCGCGUCUGAUUAGCUAGUUGGUAAGGUAACGGCUUACCAAGGCGACGAUCAGUAGCCGACCUGAGAGGGUGAUCGGCCACAUUGGAACUGAGACACGGUCCAA